rnacentral:rRNA from 1 species
UACGUAGGGUGCAAGCGUUGUCCGGAAUUAUUGGGCGUAAAGAGCUCGUAGGCGGUUUGUCGCGUCGAAUGUGAAAACCCGGGGCUCAACCCCGGGCCUGCAUUCGAUACGGGCAGACUAGAGUUCGGUAGGGGAGUCUGGAAUUCCUGGUGUAGCGGUGAAAUGCGCAGAUAUCAGGAGGAACACCGAUGGCGAAGGCAGCUCGCUGGGACGGUACUGACGCUGAGACGCGAAAGCGUGGGGAGCGAACAGG